rnacentral:rRNA from 1 species
AUUGAACGCUGGCGGCAGGCUUAACACAUGCAAGUCGAGCGGAGCGAGGGUGCUUGCACCUUAGCUUAGCGGCGGACGGGUGAGUAAUGCUUAGGAAUCUGCCUAUUAGUGGGGGACAACAUUCCGAAAGGAAUGCUAAUACCGCAUACGCCCUACGGGGGAAAGCAGGGGAUCUUCGGACCUUGCGCUAAUAGAUGAGCCUAAGUCGGAUUAGCUAGUUGGUGGGGUAAAGGACUACCACGGCGACGAUCUGUAGCGGGUCUGAGAGGAUGAUCCGCCACACUGGGACUGUGACACUGCCCAGACUCCUACGGGAGGCAGCAGUGGGGAAUAUUGGACAAUGGGCGGAAGCCUGAUCCAGCCAGGCCGCGUGUGUGAAGAAGGCCUUUUGGUUGUAAAGCACUUUAAGCGAGGAGGAGGCUCUUAAGGUUAAUACCCUUGAUGAGUGGACGUUACUCGCAGAAUAAGCACCGGCUAACUCUGUGCCAGCCGCCGCGGUAAAAC